GGCUUGGUGGUGGAUGGUCCACGUCUGCUGUCCUUGGGGGAGCAUAAAAGUGUCUCAUACAGAUGCAGAAGGAACCCGUUCGAUUCGGGUCCAAGCCA